AGUCUAGCAUGUGCGCGAGUCAUUGGGAAUCACAAAACCUAAAGGCGCAAUGAAAGUGAAAGUCUGUUGACGCGGACUUAGGGAGGAUAGGUUUCGUACACUGUACAACCUCGCACUCCCGGGGCGUCUCGCACUCAAUGCGAGGUGGGGCGCACCAAGAGCGUACACGCUGGGACCCGAAAGAUGGUGAACUAUGCCUGGUCAGGACGAAGUCAGGGGAAACCCUGAUGGAGGUCCGUAGCGAUUCUGACGUGCAAAUCGAUCGUCGGAACUGGGCUUAGGGGCGAAAGACUAAUCGAACCAUCUAGUAGCUGGUUCCCACCGAAGUUUCCCUCAGGAUAGCUGGCACUAGAUUAUGGAUGAGUCUCAUCCGGUAAAGCGAAUGAUUAGAGGCAUUGGGGUCGAAACGGCCUCAACCUAUUCUCAAACUUUAAAUGGGUGAGAUCUCCGGCUUGCUCGAUUCGUGAAGCCGGAGAUCGGAUCAAUUAGUGUCAAGUGGGCCACUUUUGGUAAGCAGAACUGGCGCUGUGGGAUGAACCAAACGCAGAGUUAAAGCGCCAAAAUCGACGCUUAUGGGAUACCAUGAAAGGCGUUGGUAACUUAAGACAGCANGACGGUGGCCAUGGAAGUCGGA
rnacentral:rRNA from 1 species